CCUACGGGGGGCUGCAGUGAGGAAUCUUGCACAAUGGGCGCAAGCCUGAUGCAGCGACGCCGCGUGAAUGAUGAAGGCUUUCGGGUUGUAAAGUUCAGUAAGCAGGGAAGAAUAAGUGGAAGAUAAUACCUUCCAUGAUGACGGUACUUGCCUAAAGCCCCGGCUAACUACGUGCCAGCAGCCGCGGUAAUACGUAUGGGGCGAGCGUUGUUCGGAAUUAUUGGGCGUAAAGGGCGUCUAGGCGGGAGAUUAAGUUAGGUGUGAAAGCUAUGGGCUCAACCCAUAAACUGCAUCUAAAACUGAUUUUCUUGAGUUCGGGAGAGGAGAGCGGAAUUCCAGGUGUAGCGGUGAAAUGCGUAGAUAUCUGGAAGAACACCAGUGGCGAAGGCGGCUCUCUGGCCUAGGACUGACGCUGAAGCGCGAAAGCGUGGGGAGCGAACAGGCUUAGAUACCCCAGUAGUC
rnacentral:rRNA from 1 species